UUUGGGUUUUAAUGUUUGAUUUUACUUUAUUGUAGAUGCAUUUUAAUUGGAAAUAAUAUUCUUAAAGUCUGAGUGCAGAAGACCAGCUUAUACAAUGGUGGAGUCUGGAGCUGUCUCUAAUUCUUGCAUGGUUGGCGAGCAAAGAUGAUACCCUCCCUCCUAGCAAACGGCUUCAAGUUGCAAGAAAUCUUCCCAAA